rnacentral:rRNA from 1 species
AUGGCGGGGCCGGCGGGAGGGCGGGAACUGCCGGACACGCCGACGUGGGCGGUGGCGCUCGUCUGCGCCGUUAUGAUACUCGUCUCCGUCGCCAUGGAGCACGCCCUCCACAACCUCGGCCACUGGUUCCACAAGCGGCACAAGAAGGCCAUGGCGGAGGCGCUGGAGAAGAUGAAGGCGGAGCUCAUGCUGGUGGGCUUCAUAUCCCUGCUCCUCACCGUGGCGCAGGACCCCAUCUCCAAGAUAUGCAUCUCCGUGGAGGCCGGCAGCAGGAUGCUCCCGUGCAAGCUGCCCUCUGCUUACGCCGGCGACGGCCAGGAGAACCGCCGAAGGCUCCUCUGGCUCCAGGGCGAGACCCACCGCCGGUUCCUGGCCGCCCCGGCCGGAGAGGACGUCUGCGCCAAACAGGGCAAGGUGGCGCUGAUGUCGGCGGGGAGCAUGCACCAGCUGCACAUAUUCAUCUUCGUGCUCGCCGUCUUCCACGUCCUGUACAGCGUCGCCACCAUGGCUCUCAGCCGUCUCAAAAUGAAGCAAUGGAAGAAGUGGGAGUCGGAGACUGCAUCGCUGGAGUAUCAGUUCGCCAACGAUCCAUCGCGGUGCCGGUUCACGCACCAGACGACGUUCGUGAGGCGGCACCUGGGCCUGUCCAGCACCCCCGGCGUCAGAUGGGUGGUGGCCUUCUUCAGGCAGUUCUUCACGUCGGUGACCAAGGUGGACUACCUGACGCUGCGGCAGGGCUUCAUCAACGCGCAUCUCUCGCAGAAGAGCAGGUUCGACUUCCACAGGUACAUCAAGAGGUCGCUGGAGGACGACUUCAAGGUCGUCGUCGGCAUCAGCCUCAAGCUCUGGUUCGUGGCGGUGCUCAUCCUCUUCCUUGAUUUCCACGGGAUCGGCACUCUUAUCUGGAUGUCUGUGGUUCCUCUCGUGAUCCUCUUGUGGGUCGGGACCAAGCUCGAGAUGGUGAUCAUGGAGAUGGCCCGGGAGAUCCAGGACCGGGAGAGCGUCGUCAAGGGGGCUCCCGCCGUCGAGCCCAGCAACAAGUACUUCUGGUUCAACCGCCCCGACUGGGUCCUCUUCCUCAUACACCUCACACUCUUCCAGAACGCGUUUCAGAUGGCACAUUUCGUGUGGACAGUGGCCACGCCCGGCUUGAAGAGAUGCUACCAUCAGAAAAUGGGAGUGAGCAUCGCCAAGGUGGUGCUGGGGGUGGCCGCCCAGAUCAUGUGCAGCUACAUCACCUUCCCCCUCUACGCGCUUGUCACACAGAUGGGCUCACACAUGAAGAGAAGCGUCUUCAACGAGCAGACGGCCAAGGCGCUGACCAACUGGCGAAAGGUGGCGAAGGAGAAGAAGAAAGCCCGAGACGCGGGCUUGCUGAUGGCGCAGAUGGGCGUCGGCUCGUCGCCGGUGCACCUGCUCCACAAUGCCGGGGCGCGGUCCGACGAUCCCCAGAGCGUGCCGGCGUCGCCGAGGGCCGAGAAGGAGGGCGGGGGUGUGUGGUGUCCGGCUGCGGCGCGUCCGGCGCGCAGGGUGCCUCCUUGUGACGGGUGGAGGUCGGCCUCGUCGCCGGCCCUCGACGCUCACAUGACCGGUGCAGAUUUGUGCUUCAGCACGCAACGUUGA